rnacentral:rRNA from 1 species
GAUCAUGGCUCAGGAUAAACGCUGGCGGCGCACAUAAGACAUGCAAGUCGAACGAACUUAACCAUUAGUUUACUAUUGGAGCGGUUAGUGGCGGACUGGUGAGUAACACGUAAGCAACCUGCCUAUCAGAGGGGAACAACAGUUAGAAAUGACUGCUAAUACCGCAUAUGCCUUAGAAUCACAUGGUUCAGAAGGGAAAGGAGCAAUCCGCUGAUAGAUGGGCUUGCGU